UAGGGUUUGAUCAUGGCUCAGAUUGAACGCUGGCGGAAUGCUUUACACAUGCAAGUCGAACGGCAGCACGGACUUCGGUCUGGUGGCGAGUGGCGAACGGGUGAGUAAUAUAUCGGAACGUGCCCAGUCGUGGGGGAUAACGUAGUGAAAAUUACGCUAAUACCGCAUACGAUCUAAGGAUGAAAGCGGGGGAUCGCAAGACCUCGCGCGAUUGGAGCGGCCGAUAUCAGAUUAGGUAGUUGGUGAGGUAAAGGCUCACCAAGCCAACGAUCUGUAGCUGGUCUGAGAGGACGACCAGCCACACUGGAACUGAGACACGGUCCAGACUCCUACGGGAGGCAGCAGUGGGGAAUUUUGGACAAUGGACGCAAGUCUGAUCCAGCCAUUCCGCGUGCAGGACGAAGGCCUUCGGGUUGUAAACUGCUUUUGUACAGAACGAAAAGGUCUCUAUUAAUACUAGGGGCUCAUGACGGUACUGUAAGAAUAAGCACCGGCUAACUACGUGCCAGCCGCCGCGGUAAUUC
rnacentral:rRNA from 1 species